rnacentral:rRNA from 1 species
UACAGAGGUCUCAAGCGUUGUUCGGAAUCACUGGGCGUAAGGGUGCGUAGGUGGCGUGGAAAGUCAGAUGUGAAAUCCGGAGGCUCAACCUCCGAAUUGCAUCCGAUACUCCCAUGCUAGAGAACUGGAGGGGAGUCUGGAAUUCUCGGUGUAGCAGUGAAAUGCGUAGAUAUCGAGAGGAACACUAGUGGCGAAGGCGAGACUCUGGACAGUUUCCGACACUGAUGCACGAAGGUCAGGGGAGCAAACGGG